CAGUAGCCGCGGUAAUACGAAGGGGGCUAGCGUUGUUCGGAAUUACUGGGCGUAAAGCGCACGUAGGCGGAUAUUUAAGUCAGGGGUGAAAUCCCGCAGCUCAACUGCGGAACUGCCUUUGAUACUGGGUAUCUUGAGUAUGGUAGAGGUUAGUGGAAUUGCGAGUGUAGAGGUGAAAUUCGUAGAUAUUCGCAGGAACACCGGUGGCGAAGGCGGCUAACUGGUCCAUAACUGACGCUGAGGUGCGAAAGCGUGGGGAGCAAACAGGAUUAGACCCCCGUAGUCCCUGUCUCUUAUACAC
rnacentral:rRNA from 1 species